UGUUGUGCAAUGAUCAUGGCCAGUGUUUGUUGAUUGUAUGUCAGUGGCAAGUGAUAGUGGGAAUAGUGGGUGAAGGAUGCUUGUGCUGGUCCAGUUCAGAGCUGGCCCUUGCUUGAUUGGGUCAAGUAUUAGUAAAGUAAAUAGUGUUCAAAAGAUAUAGGUGGAUUUGGAGCAUAUGCUGGAGCAGCUAAGGAUGAUAGUGUUCAGAAAUGUUGUCAGAACAAAUAUGGUAGAAGAUGGUGAUUGUUCAUGAGGUCUCUGCUAGGGGCAAUUUUGAUAGAAAACAAUAGGAACUUCUUUGAUGAUAUAACAAAGAGAUUUAAGAGAAAAUUGAAACCAAAAGGAUAUGCACUUGAAUAACAAAUACUCGUUUGCUCUCUGUUUUGUGCAUAAAUAUAUCUACAUAAACUGCCAUACAAAAUAGUGGACUAUGACAGAAAAAGAAGAUGUACAUUGGUCUUGAAAACAAAAGACAAAUAUUUAAAUUUAGAAGGCUAUUUUAUGCGCACAACCCUCUAUGGGGUGCCGCUAUUGUCAUGCCUGGGACCAUAUGCUCGAGGACUAUGCCAAGAAUUAUCUUAAUGUAAUGAAUAAGACAAAAGCUUCUUUUAUGGUCAUAGACUUGGCAAACAAACCAUUGUCUUCUAACACUUUUGGAAGUAUCUUGGGCAUAGGUGGUUUAGAUGGUUGGCUAAUUAUUUCUGUAUGGCUACCUAUUGAUAAUGGUUUCACUGCUUGUUAGCAAGUCAAUGAUGCUUUAAUUAUUAGCUGUUAACAUACAUAUAGCAUUUUCUUUCUAAAAGU
rnacentral:lncRNA from 1 species